rnacentral:lncRNA from 11 species
AUAAAAUCUUGCUCUGAUUUAAUAGUAUCAACUUUCCUCAAGUUUUACAUCUUUCUCUCUCGUCCCUCAAAUUCUGGUAGCAUGCCAAAGGAUAAUUUCCACUGUACCAGUUGUAUUCCAUAAAAAAGUUUGGUAAAAAUCAAUUAGAGUCAUAUAUUCUUGAAGAGCACCUAAAUAUAUGGAAAUGUUAUUAAGUUAAAGCUUAUUUUGUUGUUUCUGGCAGUUCGCCUCCAAAUUGUGUCCAAACCACUUUGUUUCACUGCAGAGUAAAGGAAGCUAUGUGUUUUCUUUUCUUGGCAGGUUAAGGUAGAACUAAUAUAGAGAGGAAUUGCUGUGUAGAGUGUGGGGUUCAGCGGAAGCAAGUUCAGCAAUGACAUCACUCCAUCCUAAAGGCCAUUCUUCAAGCUUUGGAAAUCAAAACAAGCUGCUGUCCAGCCAUUGGAGCUAUUGCAUGGAAAGCCCUGGGGUGAAGUACACCAGGCAAACCAUCCAACACUUCAAAGAUGAAAACUGGAACAUGUAUGAUUAAGCAACAUCAAGUGUGUAGUCAAGUUGACAGAAGUUAUU